AGGAGAGUGGGGCCUUGGUUGCCUUACUCUUUGUGCUGGCGACCCCUGUGCACUGAGCCUACUGAAUGCCAGCAGCUCUCAUUCAGCUUGUCUGGUCCUGAGUAGGAUGGAUGCAGGGCGUGCUAGAGGGGCGUGGCGGAGGCGACGAGUGGGGCGGAGCAACUGUGGAAGAGGGAAGCUAGUACCGCUUUUGAGCGAGGGAUGCGAUGCAGCGUGGUGCUGCUCGGAGGUGUGCUGCUCAGAGGCCGCCUGAUUGCCUACCUUCCCUGGUAUUCCUUCCGACUGCGGCAAGGGCACUGAGUGGUGGCAACGCCGGCAAGGCUCAGAAAUCACAUAAUUAAGAAGAUUGAGACAGAAAAUGAAGGGAAAGCAAAUGGGCUGAGAAGUUGGAAUAAAGACAGUGCAAAUGGUGAUUAUAGUUUCGAGGACCUGGACAUACAUUUCCAGGAAGAAACCAUGGAUUAAUGAAUUCCAGAGGCAUCUUUGUCAUUUUUCAUGGACAUACAGCUCUAAUGGUGCCUUAAAGACACAGAACUGCUUUAUGCCUGUGGCCAAGAGUGUUGCUAACAGUCUUUAUUUAGAUUCUGCCCAGAAGGAGAAGAGAGGAGAGAAGAACAAGACAGAGGUCAGAGACAGAAAAAUGCUACAGUUGAAGCACAACACCAGAAAUGCAGAGGUUUUGUGGUAUCCACACAGAACUAAUUCUCUCUCACCAUCUUUGCACAGUAACACUAAAAUCAAUGGAGCUCAGCACUUCACUGUUCCGGGGCCUUCAAGCACAAAACACAGUUCUGUUCUUACUCUUAGUGCCAUCGAAACCAUCAGACUGCAACUUCAUUUCAGAUUUCUAUUCUCAUUCAAGCCUGUGUCACAUCUCAGCAUAGAAGUAUGAAUUGGCCAAGUUUGCUAGUACCCUACAAAGUCAAUAUAGUGGAAUCUUUCAGGAAUGGAAAACAAAAAAAUGAAAACAGGCAGGUCUUCCCUUUUUGUACCUGACAUGGGAACAUGCAUGGGUAUUUGCCUUUCUUGCCUAUGUCCUCUCUGCAAGAGGAACGACAGGAACCAGUGAUGUCUGCUUAAAAAGAACAUGGCUACUUAUUUAUAAUAGCCAGAAGCUGGAAAGAACCCAGAUGCCCCUCAACAGAGGAAUAGAUACAGAAAAUGUGGUACAUUUACACAAUGGAGUACUACUCAGCUAUUAAAAAGAAUGAAUUUAUGAAAUUCCUAGCCAAAUGGAUGGACCUGGAGGGCAUCAUCCUGAGUGAGGUAACACAUUCACGAAGGAACUCACACAAUAUGUACUCACUGAUAAGUGGAUAUUAGCCCAAAACCUAGGAUACCCAAGAUAUAAGAUACAAUUUUCUAAACACAUGAAACUCGAGAAGAAUGAAGACUGAAGUGUGGACACUAUGCCCCUCCUUAGAAUUGGGAACAAAACACCCAGGGAAGGAGUUACAGAGACAAAGUUUGGAGCUGACACGAAAGGAUGGACCAUUUAGAGACUGCCAUAUCCAGGGAUCCACCCCAUAAUCAG
rnacentral:lncRNA from 1 species